rnacentral:rRNA from 1 species
CAGUAGCCACGGUAAUACAGAGGGUGCGAGCGUUAAUCGGAUUUACUGGGCGUAAAGCGUGCGUAGGCGGCUUCUUAAGUCGGAUGUGAAAUCCCUGAGCUUAACUUAGGAAUUGCAUUCGAUACUGGGAAGCUAGAGUAUGGGAGAGGAUGGUAGAAUUCCAGGUGUAGCGGUGAAAUGCGUAGAGAUCUGGAUGAAUACCGAUGGCGAAGGCAGCCAUCUGGCCUAAUACUGACGCUGAGGUACGAAAGCAUGGGGAGCAAACAGGAUUAGAUACCCCGGUAGUCCCUGUCUCUUAUAC